CCUACGGGAGGCAGCAGUGAGGAAUAUUGGUCAAUGGACGAGAGUCUGAACCAGCCAAGUAGCGUGAAGGAUGACUGCCCUAUGGGUUGUAAACUUCUUUUAUAUGGGAGUAAAGUGAUCCACGUGUGGGUUUUUGUAUGUACCUUAUGAAUAAGGAUCGGCUAACUCCGUGCCAGCAGCCGCGGUAAUACGGAGGAUCCGAGCGUUAUCCGGAUUUAUUGGGUUUAAAGGGAGCGUAGGUGGAUUGUUAAGUCAGUUGUGAAAGUUUUCGGAUCAACCGUAAAAUUGCAGUUGAAACUGGCAGUCUUGAGUACAGUAGAGGUAGGCGGAAUUCGUGGUGUAGCGGUGAAAUGCUUAGAUAUCACGAAGAACUCCGAUUGCGAAGGCAGCUUACUGGACUGCAACUGACAUUGAGGCUCGAAAGUGUGGGUAUCAAACAGGAUUAGAUACCCUUGUAGUC
rnacentral:rRNA from 1 species